rnacentral:rRNA from 1 species
GACGAACGCUGGCGGCGUGCCUAACACAUGCAAGUCGAACGGAAAGGCCCUGCUUUUGUGGGGUGCUCGAGUGGCGAACGGGUGAGUAACACGUGAGUAACCUGCCCUUGACUUUGGGAUAACUUCAGGAAACUGGGGCUAAUACCGGAUAGGAGCUCCUGCUGCAUGGUGGGGGUUGGAAAGUUUCGGCGGUUGGGGAUGGACUCGCGGCUUAUCAGCUUGUUGGUGGGGUAGUGGCUUACCAAGGCUUUGACGGGUAGCCGGCCUGAGAGGGUGACCGGCCACAUUGGGACUGAGAUACGCACCAGACUCCUACGGGAGGCAGCAGUGGGGAAUAUUGCACAAUGGGCGGAAGCCUGAUGCAGCAACGCCGCGUGCGGGAUGACGGCCUUCGGGUUGUAAACCGCUUUCGCCUGUGACGAAGCGUGAGUGACGGUAAUGGGUAAAGAAGCACCGGCUAACUACGUG